CGUACACUCCUGCGGGAGGCAGCAGUGGGGAAUAUUGGACAAUGGGCGCAAGCCUGAUCCAGCCAUGCCGCGUGAGUGAUGAAGGCCCUAGGGUUGUAAAGCUCUUUCACCGGUGAAGAUAAUGACGGUAACCGGAGAAGAAGCCCCGGCUAACUUCGUGCCAGCAGCCGCGGUAAUACGAAGGGGGCUAGCGUUGUUCGGAUUUACUGGGCGUAAAGCGCACGUAGGCGGACUAUUAAGUCAGGGGUGAAAUCCCGGGGCUCAACCCCGGAACUGCCUUUGAUACUGGUAGUCUUGAGUUCGAGAGAGGUGAGUGGAAUUCCGAGUGUAGAGGGGAAAUUCGUGGAUAUUCGGAGGAACACCAGUGGCGAAGGCGGCUCACUGGCUCGAUACUGACGCUGAGGUGCGAAAGCGUGGGGAGCAAACAGGAUUAGAUACCCUUGUAGUCCC
rnacentral:rRNA from 1 species